ACACUCAAGGAUCAAGCAAAGCACGCCAAACAAAGGUCGUGGGAAAGCUCAACGUAUCCUUAAUAUCAAUCAUCCAUUUUGGUGGAUUUAGGUUUUCACCUUAUCGACACCCAAGUUCCAUUGAUAUUAACGGUACAUGAACCGGUUCAGACAUUCUUAAUAUCAACCAGCCGCUUUGAUGGAUUUUAGGUUUUACACCUGAUCCGGGAUCCAUUGAUAU
rnacentral:lncRNA from 1 species